AAAAAUGGCGGCCACGAGCUCUCUCUUCUCUCUAUCCUUCGCUCCUUCCCGAAGGCGCUCGAUACCCCUCUCUCGUUCGGCGAAUCCCUCUUCCGCCCCUUCCGACCUCUCCUCGAAGCCUCAACUAAUCGAGCUCGAAUUUCUCGGACCGAAGGCCGGAGGUGAUGGUUCUUCUCCUGUGGACAGGGUGACUGCGAUCAGCGGAGAGAAGCUCCUCCGCAACAUCAUGUUGGAGAACAAGAUCGAGCUCUAUGCCGCAUAUGGGAAAGUGAUGAAUUGUGGCGGUAGGGGAAGCUGCGGCACGUGCAUUGUGGAGAUUAUUGAUGGCAAGGAACUCUUGAAUGAGCGAACAAACACUGAACUUCGGUACCUGAAAAAGAGAUGCUGAAAUGACUGCCGCACCGUUCUCAAUGUCGCUCAAGAAACCCGAGUCUUGGAGACUUGCCUGUCAAACUAUCGUAGGCAAUAAAGAAAACUCUGGCAAGCUUCACAAGAUCACGUGAAGGAUAUUUGUUUAGAAGGGCUAUGUUGGUAUUACUUCGGUUGAGAAGGGCGUUUUGAACAGCUCAAUAAAGUUAAAGGGGGCUAUUUGCGCAAGUUUUGCAAGUUCAAUGGGUGUAGUUGUCCAGCGAAUGCCCCAAUGGAAGAAAUGAUUUGUGCACCUUUGUUGAUUAUGGUUCAAAUCACUUUGCUAUAUUAUUCAUUGUAUUUGAAAUACACAAAUAUUAAACCCAUUUUGGUGUUCAAUAGUAUUUUUAUUUAUAUUGGAGUGUAGAAUGUGGGAGACAAAGAAAUAAGGUUCGCGACACACGGAUCUUUCAAAAUAAAGUUUAAAUGAAUGAUUAUUUUUAAUCCUAGUAA